UCGAACUCGGUAAUAGCUGGUUCUCCCCGAGAUAGCUUUUGGGCUAGCGUCGGUUAAUAGUGUGUUGGGGGUAGAGCACUGAAUGGGAUUGUCGCCGCAAGGUAGACAUCCUAACCAAACUCCGAAUACCAGCACAUGUUCCCGGCAGUCAGACUAUGGGGGCUAAGCUCCAUUGGUCGAAAGGGAAACAGCCCAGAUCUCAAACUAAGGUCCCUAAAUCGUCGUUAAGUGUAAAAGGUGGUGGAAAGACUUUUACAACCAGGAGGUUGGCUUAGAAGCAGCCAUCCUUUAAAGAUAGCGUAAUAGCUCACUGGUCAAGUUUUUCUGCGCCGAAAAUGUACCGGGGCUAAACGACGUACCGAAGUUGAGGGUUUGUCCAGUUUCGACUGGACAAGCGGUAGGGGAGCAUUCGUAUUGCGCUGAAGUUGUGUCGUAAGGCAUGGUGGAGCGAUACGAAGUGAGAAUGUUGGCAUAAGUAGCAUAAAGACAGGUGAGAGUCCUGUCCGCCGUAAACCCAAGGUUUCCUGGGCAACGUGAAUCGUCCCAGGGUUAGUCGGGAGCUAAGGCGAGGCUGAAAAGCGUAGUCGAUGCACAGCAGGUUCAUAUUCCUGCACUCUGUUUUGUUUCCAAUGAGGGGACGCUCUUCGUAUUUUCCCGCGUUCUAUGGCUAUGACGUUGGGCGCAUCUGAACGACUGGCAGGCAAAUCCACCAGUCAUCCAUUUGGAUGCGAUCGCAAGCUUGUUGAAAGACGAGCAAGGGGAAAAGAAAGGGAGCCAAGAAAAGCCUCUAGGGUUAAGCAAAAUAGACCCGUACCGGAAACCGACACAGGUGGGUGGGUGCGAUAAUGCACUAAGGCGUACGAGAGAACCCUUGUUUAGGAACUCGGCAAAACAAUGGCCGUAACUUCGGGAUAAGGCCUGGUUGCCCCCGGGAGGGGGUGACCCGCAGCGAAAGACAUCAACCGACUGUUUACCAAAAACACAGGUCCCUGCAAAAUCAUAAGAUGAAGUAUAGGGGCUGAUGCCUGGCCAGUGUCAGAACGUUAAGGAAGGGGGUCAUUCCACCGCAAGGUGGAGGCAGCUUCCGACUGAAGCGCUGAUGAACGCCGGCGAUAACUAUAAUCGUCCUAAGGUAGCGAAAUUCCUUGUCGGGUAAGUUCCGACCUGCACGAAUGGCAUAACGAGUUGAUGACUGUCUCAACAAGGGACUCGGCGAAAUUGCAAGAUGAGUGAAGAUGCUCAUUACCCGUGGUUAGACGAAAAGACCCCGUGAAGCUUUACUACAACUUGUUAUUGGGUUCAUGCUUCGUAUGUUCAGCGUAGGUGGGAGCUUAGGCGCCAAUGAGACACCACCCUUGCGUUGCGUGAAUUCUAACCGCUCAGCCUGAAUCGGCUGGGUGGAACAGUAGCUGGUGGGUAGUUUACCUGGGGCGGGUGCCUCCCAAAAAGUAACGGAGGCGUUUACAAAGGUUGGCUUAGCGCGGAUGGAAAUCGCGCUGGACAGUCGCGCAGUCGCGAAAGCGGAAGUUAGUGAUCCGACCGUACGACAUAGGACGGCGGAAGCUCAACGGAUAAAAGCUACUCCGGGGAUAACAGGCUGAUCCCUCCCAAGAGUCCACAUCGACGGAGGGGUUUGGCACCUCGAUGUCGGCCCGUCGCAUCCUGGGGCUGGAGAAGGUCCCAAGGGUUUGGCUGUUCGCCAAUUAAAGCGGCACGCGAGCUGGGUUCAGAACGUCGUGAGACAGUUCGGUCUCCUAUCUACCAUGGGCGUUGAAAGUUGAGGGGGCUCAUCUCUAGUACGAGAGGACCGAGAUGAACGAACCUCUGGUGCACCGGUUGUUCUGCCAAGAGCAUUGCCGGGUAGCCACGUUCGGUUCGGAUAAACGCUGAAAGCAUCUAAGCGUGAAGCCGACCCCAAGAUGAACUUUCGUUAUUCAGACUCCUGCGAGACGAGCAGGUUGAUAGGCCGUAGGUGGAAGCGCGGUAACGCGUGAAGCCGAGCGGUACUAAUAAGUCGAG
rnacentral:rRNA from 1 species